GACGAACGCUGGCGGCGUGCUUAACACAUGCAAGUCGAACGGUGAAAGCGGAGCUUGCUCCGCUGGAUCAGUGGCGAACGGGUGAGUAACACGUGGGCAACCUGCCCCUCACUUCGGGAUAACUCCGGGAAACCGGGGCUAAUACCGGAUAUGACCUCCUUGGGCAUCCUUGGAGGUGGAAAGUUUUUCGGUGAGGGAUGGGCCCGCGGCCUAUCAGCUUGUUGGUGAGGUAGUGGCUCACCAAGGCGACGACGGGUAGCCGGCCUGAGAGGGCGACCGGCCACACUGGGACUGAGACACGGCCCAGACUCCUACGGGAGGCAGCAGUGGGGAAUAUUGCGCAAUGGGCGAAAGCCUGACGCAGCAACGCCGCGUGCGGGAUGACGGCCUUCGGGUUAUAAACCGCUUUCAGCAGGGAAGAAGCCGCAAGGUGACGGUACCUGCAGAAGAAGCACCGGCUAACUACGUGCCAGCCGCCGCGGUAA
rnacentral:rRNA from 1 species